GGCAACUUGUCCCAAAAGGGGGUGUAGUUUUGCUAAAAGAAAUCAUCACAUUGGUUGUUGCGCCUCUUUUUGUUGGUCUAGUCAUUGAACUAGUUUCUCAUUGGUUAGAUGAGAAAGAUAACAACUGAACGCAAGUUGCCUAAUCUAACCACGAAUACUUGUAGUCGCAGCGAGUAAAAA
rnacentral:ncRNA from 1 species